rnacentral:rRNA from 1 species
CGGCGGACGGGUGAGUAACGCGUGGGUAACCUGCCUCAUACAGGGGGAUAACAGUUAGAAAUGGCUGCUAAUACCGCAUAAGCGCACAGGACCGCAUGGUCUGGUGUGAAAAACUCCGGUGGUAUGAGAUGGACCCGCGUCUGAUUAGCUAGUUGGAGGGGUAACGGCCCACCAAGGCGACGAUCAGUAGCCGGCCUGAGGGGGUGAACGGCCACAUUGGGACUGAGACACGGCCCAG